rnacentral:misc_RNA from 1 species
UCAAACUUGGUCAUUUAGAGGAAGUAAAAGUCGUAACAAGGUUUCCGUAGGUGAACCUGCGGAAGGAUCAUUAUUGAACAAAAUUAAACAGACUGUUGCUGGUUUCUUGAAGCAAGUGCACGUCUGUUUUAUUUCAAAUUUUUCCGCCUGUGCACUAGUGGUUGAGAUCAGUCUAAAUAAAAUAAGAGCUUUCGAAGGAUAACCUUCGGUGGAGAGAAAUAAGCUUACAUUUUGCUGUUUCUUGAAAACUUGCUUUUAGAUUGGCUCGGCUGUUUUCAUUCAUUGCACCAUAUGAAUGCAUCAGAGUAUUGACAGAAUCAGACUUGUUUUGUGUUUUAAAUUAUAUAACUUUCAACAACGGAUCUCUUGGCUCUCGCAUCGAUGAAGAACGCAGC